AAGACUAGUAAUCUUUAAUCACAUCCUCUGACUGCAAAUCAGACACUUUAAUUAAGCUAUAGCCUC
rnacentral:tRNA from 1 species